rnacentral:rRNA from 1 species
UACGUAGGGUGCAAGCGUUGUCCGGAAUUAUUGGGCGUAAAGAGCUUGUAGGCGGUUUGUCGCGUCUGCUGUGAAAUUUCGGGGCUCAACCCCGAACUUGCAGUGGGUACGGGCAGGCUAGAGUGUGGUAGGGGAGACUGGAAUUCCUGGUGUAGCGGUGAAAUGCGCAGAUAUCAGGAGGAACACCGGUGGCGAAGGCGGCAUCCUGGACCGGCAUUGACGCUGAACAGCGAAAGCUAGGGGAGCAAACAGG